rnacentral:rRNA from 1 species
AUGAACGCUGGCGGCGUGCCUAAUACAUGCAAGUCGAGCGAACAGACGAGGAGCUUGCUCCUCUGACGUUAGCGGCGGACGGGUGAGUAACACGUGGAUAACCUACCUAUAAGACUGGGAUAACUUCGGGAAACCGGAGCUAAUACCGGAUAAUAUAUUGAACCGCAUGGUUCAAUAGUGAAAGACGGUUUUGCUGUCACUUAUAGAUGGAUCCGCGCCGCAUUAGCUAGUUGGUAAGGUAACGGCUUACCAAGGCAACGAUGCGUAGCCGACCUGAGAGGGUGAUCGGCCACACUGGAACUGAGACACGGUCCAGACUCCUACGGGAGGCAGCAGUAAGGAAUCUUCCGCAAUGGGCGAAAGCCUGACAGAGCAACGCCGCGUGAGUGAUGAAGGUCUUCGGAUCGUAAAACUCUGUUAUUAGGGAAGAACAAAUGUGUAAGUAACUAUGCACGUCUUGACGGUACCUAAUCAGAAAGCCACGGCUAACUACGUG